rnacentral:rRNA from 1 species
AUGGUGGUAACGGGUAACGGGGAAUUAGGGUUCGAUUCCGGAGAGGGAGCCUGAGAAACGGCUACCACAUCCAAGGAAGGCAGCAGGCGCGCAAAUUACCCAAUCCCGACACGGGGAGGUAGUGACAAUAAAUAACAAUACGGGGCUCUUUCGGGUCUCGUAAUUGGAAUGAGUACAAUUUAAAUCCCUUAACGAGGAACAAUUGGAGGGCAAGUCUGGUGCCAGCAGCCGCGGUAAUUCCAGCUCCAAUAGCGUAUAUUAAAGUUGUUGCAGUUAAAAGCUCGUAGUUGAAUUUCGGGAUUGACACAUCGGUCGUGCCCUAAGGGGUAUGAACUGGUGUAGUCAGUUUCUCACCUUCUGGAGAACCGCGAUGUCCUUAAUUGGGUGCCGCGAGGAACCAGGACCUUUACUUUGAAAAAAUUAGAGUGUUUAAAGCAGGCAUUUUGCUUGAAUACACUAGCAUGGAAUAAUAAAAUAGGACGGAUGGUUCUAUUUUGUUGGUUUCUAGGAUCACCGCAAUGAUUAAUAGGGAUAGUUGGGGGCAUUAGUAUUCAAUUGUCAGAGGUGAAAUUCUUGGAUUUAUUGAAGACUAACUACUGCGAAAGCAUUUGCCAAGGAUGUUUUCAUUAAUCAAGAACGAAAGUUAGGGGAUCGAAGACGAUCAGAUACCGUCGUAGUCUUAACCAUAAACUAUGCCGA